UUAACGCAUUGAACGUCCCAACGGAGGAAAAAAAAACUUAUUGCAAUGUUGUUAAUGUUAAAGACACUUCUUAGCUAAAUAAGAUAAAAUAAUUAUUUCGUUCCUGGGGUUUUACAAAGUUAAUUAUCUCGUCCUUGUAUUUUUAUAUAUUAGUUAUUUAGUCCCUGACAUUUAAUUUUGUCUCAAUGAUAUAUCCUUCCGUCUGAAAUCAACUCAUUAUUCCAUUGAGAAAGGGUAGAAAUUCAAAAAUACCCUUAAGCUCCUCCUCCUAUCUCUCGCUUCCACACUUGAAGCUUAUCUCCCACUUUCGUAGCAGCUGUAGGUGCCAAACUCAAACCCGCCGAUUUUAUAGCCAUUGGUCUGUAAAUCACCAAUGCUCCAUGGUGCAAGUUCUUCGAAUACGACCGAUUCGAUUCGAUUCAACGUUCGCUGUCUCAAGGCUAAAGAUUCUGCCGAGAGAUUCGCCAUUGUUCAGCUCACGUCUAUCCUUUUCAAUGGGACUCUCAUCGGCACUCCAUUGCUCACUCGCUGUUUCUCUCUUUCACACUGCCGCUCGCAUCUUCUUAGGGCCGGCUGUCUCCGACAGAAAGAUUCCAUUGUCAUUGGAUACGUUGAUGACAAUAUAAAUAAGUGACGAUCCAUCCAGAUUAGUAUCUAGAUCCGCAAGAGACAAGUGCCAUUAGUCCAAAAGAAGGUACUUGAACGAGUUAACUCAUUUAACGCACUGCCAAUAUGGUAAUCCCUCAAUCCCUCAAAUCUGUUACAGUACUCUUAUCAACAAUUUAAAUCGAAUUAGCACAUAAAUACUAUUUCCACUCCUCAAGGCAUCAACUGGUUAGGUAACACUGUCUUCCUUCCCAAACUCGAUAGUAAUGCGAUUACCGUAAUUGCGCCGACCGUAUUGUAUUGAGUCAAAGCAAGAGAGAUACGGUUUCAUAAAUUGGGAACCGUGUCCACCUCCCGAAUUGAAAAACGAAGAAAAAACGAAAGAAGAGCAACAAUGGAGAAUUAAUUUGUUGGUACGGGGGGCUAUGGUGAUUACACUAUUUGGUCUUUUUGUGAUUAUUAUAGGUUAAUUUUAUUUAGGGUAUUGUUGUCAAUUAAAUAUAUAACUCCCUCUUUUUUUUUCACUUUUUAUCGUUUUUUAACGGAUAAAAAUAGUUGAUUUAAGACGGAUAGAUCUAUUAUUAAGACAAAAUCAAAUAUUAGGGAUUAAAUAACUAAUAUAGAAAAAAUAUGAAGACGAAAUAAUUAAUUUUAUAAAAUUCGAGGGAUGAAGUAAUUAUUUUCCCGCUAAAUAAUGUUGGAAAAUGAGAUAUUAUUAUUUUAAUGCUUUUGUAACGUGACAAACUAAGUUUUUAUAAUGGAA
rnacentral:lncRNA from 1 species